GGUUAUGUGGUUUAAUGGUUAGCACUCUGGACUUGCAAUCCAGUGUUCCGAGUUCAAAAAUCAAUAGGACAU